UACGUAGGUGGCAAGCGUUAUCCGGAUUUAUUGGGUGUAAAGGGCGUGUAGGCGGGAAUGCAAGUCAGAUGUGAAAACUCAGGGCCCAACCCUGAGCCUGCAUUCGAAACUGUAUUUCUUGAGUGCUGGAGAGGCAAUCGGAAUUCCGUGUGUAGCGGUGAAAUGCGUAGAUAUACGGAGGAACACCAGUGGCGAAGGCGGAUUGCUGGACAGUAACUGACGCUGAGGCGCGAAAGCGUGGGGAGCAAACAGG
rnacentral:rRNA from 1 species